rnacentral:rRNA from 1 species
UACGUAGGGUGCGAGCGUUGUCCGGAAUUAUUGGGCGUAAAGAGCUCGUAGGCGGUGUGUCGCGUCUGCUGUGAAAACUCAGGGCUCAACUCUGAGCUUGCAGUGGGUACGGGCACACUAGAGUGCUGUAGGGGAGACUGGAAUUCCUGGUGUAGCGGUGAAAUGCGCAGAUAUCAGGAGGAACACCGGUGGCGAAGGCGGGUCUCUGGGCAGUUACUGACGCUGGAGGAGCGAAAGCAUGGGGAGCGAACAGG